rnacentral:rRNA from 1 species
UACGAAGGGGGCUAGCGUUGCUCGGAAUGACUGGGCGUAAAGGGCGCGUAGGCGGUUUGUACAGUCAGACGUGAAAUUCCUGGGCUUAACCUGGGGGCUGCGUUUGAUACGUGCAGACUUGAGUGAGGAAGAGGGUUGUGGAAUUCCCAGUGUAGAGGUGAAAUUCGUAGAUAUUGGGAAGAACACCGGUGGCGAAGGCGGCAACCUGGUCCUUUACUGACGCUGAGGCGCGAAAGCGUGGGGAGCAAGCAGG